ensembl:snRNA U1 U1 spliceosomal RNA
AUACUUACUUGGCAGGGGAGAUACCAUGAUCAUAAAGGUGAUUUUCCCAGGGUGAGACUCAUCCAUAGCACUGUAGGUGUACUGACCCUUGCAAUUUCCCCCAAUGUGGGAAACUUGACUGCAUAAUUUGGGGUAGUGGGGGACUGCGUUGGUGCUUUCCCCUG